AACGCCGCGUGAGUGAUGAAGGCUUCGGGUCGUAAAACUCUGUUGUUAGGGAAGAACAAGUACAAGAGUAACUGCUUGUACCUUGACGGUACCUAACCAGAAAGCCACGGCUAACUACGUGCCAGCAGCCGCGGUAAUACGUAGGUGGCAAGCGUUAUCCGGAAUAUUGGGCGUAAAGCGCGCGCAGGCGGUUUCUUAAGUCUGAUGUGAAAGCCCACGGCUCAACCGUGGAGGGUCAUUGGAAACUGGGGAACUUGAGUGCAGAAGAGAAAAGCGGAAUUCCACGUGUAGCGGUGAAAUGCGUAGAGAUGUGGAGGAACACCAGUGGCGAAGGCGGCUUUUUGGUCUGUAACUGACGCUGAGGCGCGAAAGCGUGGGGAGCAAACAGGAUUAGAUACCCUGGUAGUCCACGCCGUAAACGAUGAGUGCUAAGUGUUAGAGGGUUUCCGCCCUUUAGUGCUGCAGCUAACGCUAUUAAGCACUCCGCCUGGGGAGUACGGUCGCAAGACUG
rnacentral:rRNA from 1 species